rnacentral:rRNA from 1 species
GACGAACGCUGGCGGCGUGGAUUAGGCAUGCAAGUCGAACGGUAUCAUCCUUUCGGGGGUGAGAGAGUGGCGAACUGGUGAGUAACACGUAGGUUAUCUACCCUCAAGACGGGGACAACCCAGGGAAACUUGGGCUAAUACCGGAUGUGAGCAACUUUUAGUUGUUUGAAAGGUGGCGUAAGCUGUCGCUUGGGGGAUGAGCCUGCGUCCUAUUAGUUAGUUGGUGAGGUAACGGCUCACCUAGGCAAUGAUAGGUAGGCGGCCUUAACGGGUGGUCGCCCACACUGGGAUUGAGAUACGGCCCAGACUCCUACGGGGAGGCAGCAGUCGAGAAUAGUCUACAAUGGUCGGAAGACUGAUAGUGCGACGCCGCGUGAACGAUGAAUCCCUUCGGGGUGUAAAGUUCUUUUAUAUGUGAGCAGUGCUUCUUAUAUUAACAGUAUGGGGAGAGAGAUAUUAGCAUAUGAAUAAGAACGGCUAACUCCGUGCCAGCAGCCGCGGUAAA